GAACCGAGUUGACCUGGGACGGAGUUGAGCUGGGACCAAGUUGAGCUGGGACCGAGUUGAGCUGGGACUGAGUUGAGCUGGGGCCCAGUUGACCUGGGACUGAGUUGAUCUAGGAACGCGUUGACCUGGGACCGAGUUGACCUGGGACCGAGUUGAUCUAGGAACGAGUUGACCUGGGACCGAGUUGAGCUGGGACCGAGUUGAGCUGGGACCGAGUUGACCUGGGACCGAGUUGAGCUGGGACCGAGUUGACCUGGGACCGAGUUGACCUGGGACCGAGUUGACCUGGGACCAAAUUGGUUGGGGACCAAGCCGUAGCCUCUGUUGUCUAACAGGAAUCAAGAGUCGUAAACCAGGCUCCACAUCAGUCAUCCUGGCUGGAAGUUGUAUGAGGCUAUGGAGAAGACAAUUGGAGAAGAGGCUUGUUGUAUGACACAAGUAAUGGUGAAGCCAUCAUCAGUCUCCAGCAGCUCAUUCUCAGGUCCUUGGAAAUAACUCCAAGCCGUUGACAGAUUCUGUUGAUCUUUGCAGUGACCAUGAGAUCUUCAUUGAUGGUUUAAGAAAUCCACCACAAUGUUACUUGCAUGGUUGUCACACUCCUUAAAUUUUUGGUAUUUUUGGCAAAUUAAGAAAAAAUAUCAGAGGGAAUGAAAUUGGGUACUAUUAACAGCAAAUGAGGCUAACCUCGCAAAGGCAAGUUAACAGGCAUAUCUGAAGGCAGACAACAUUAAUGUUUACAUUUGAGGAACUAUAAGGACUGACAUUACACAGCUUCAAGGGCUGAGGUUUGGGGGGAUGACAUAUGUCCCACUUUUAGAGGGGGGGGGAUCCCCCAGAUUUUUGUUUUACAAAAAGGAGACAAAAAGAGGAAAAAUAAAGUAAGAGGUCAGUAGCCAUUACGAAAAUGUAUCAUCCUCAUUCCCCCCCCCCCCACUUGUAGAUUCGAAUCUGCAACCUUGCACACCUGUCUUCAAAGUUCGACGUAAUGCAACCAUAGAGCAAGGACCUAGGCCUGUUCACUAACAGUUGGGGUACAAGUUACAACUCUAAUUCUACAGCAACAGUUAUAUAACGAGUGGUCAUCUUUAAGUUUGUGGUCCACUUUACUCCUAUCCCUGUUACCUCUGAUAAGUGAUUUCAUUUGUAAAUUCUAGAUGCCCACUUUUCCAGGAGUGAUUCUAUAAAGCAAACAACAUGCCCAACAAGUAAAUGACAGUCAUGGUUAAUGCAGAGAUGUGACUUUUCAGGUUUUAACCUGAAUUCAGGGUGGUUUUUUUGUUCCAAAACAUCCAGAACACACGUUUUUAAAGGGGGUAAGGGUAGUUUCGGGUUUUUUUAGAAGUGUUUCAGACUUUCUAUUGAUAUAUUGGUGGCAUCUCUGUUAAUGACACUUGAAUGGCAAAAAAAUGUGCAUUUAAACAGUUUACAACAUGCACCUCUCUUUGUUAUCUGUUCAGCCGUCUGUUUUGUCUCGAUUUGUAUUUUGCGUAAUUGCAUGUUCUCUCAAAUGUAUUUCAUGAAUAAAUGUUAUUAAUUGAAUAAAAUACCUUUAACUUAAAAGUGGAGUAAACCA
rnacentral:lncRNA from 1 species